rnacentral:rRNA from 1 species
ACUCCUACGGGAGGCAGCAGUGGGGAAUAUUGCACAAUGGGGGAAGCCCUGAUGCAGCCAUGCCGCGUGUGUGAAGAAGGCCUUCGGGUUGUAAAGCACUUUCAGUAGGGAGGAAGGUAGUGUAGUUAACACCUGCACUAUUUGACGUUACCUACAGAAGAAGCACCGGCUAACUCCGUGCCAGCAGCCGCGGUAAUACGGAGGGUGCGAGCGUUAAUCGGAAUUACUGGGCGUAAAGCGCAUGCAGGCGGCCUGUUAAGUCAGAUGUGAAAGCCCGGGGCUUAACCUCGGAAUUGCAUUUGAAACUGGCAGGCUAGAGUCUGUGAGGGGGGUAGAAUUUCAGGUGUAGCGGGUGAAAAUGCGUAGAGAUCUGAAGGAAUACCAGUGGCGAAGGCGGCCCCCUGGACAAAAGACUGACGCUCAGAUGCGAAAGCGUGGGGAGCAAAACAGGAUUAGAUACCCUGGGAGCACAGAG